GGAGAGGUGGCUGAGCGGUUGAAAGCGGCGGAUUGCUAAUCCGCUAUGGGGCGUUAUAACCCCAUCGAGGGUUCGAAUCCCUCCCUCUCCGCAA
rnacentral:tRNA from 1 species